GCGGUGGUCAUCUCGAGAAUCCUAUGGUUUGGUUACCGGGAUUGUUCAUUCUUCCCCAGUUUUAUUGUACAUAAGUUUUGAAGAAACAAGAGGUCCAUGUACUGGUUACUGCUAAUUUUUGUACUGACAUUUCAAUGGACACACAAGUGGGAGAUUUUUUACUGGUUAUUAUACAUGCAUGAGACCUCAUAUGUUACAGGGGAAUCGGCGCUGCCACAUUACAGGGGAAUCGGCGCUGCCACAUUCAAGAUCAUGAUUAGUUUGUUUUUGAGGGAAUGAUCAGAGAGUUAGUAAGGAAGAGGAAACAUGCUUUUGUUAAGAGUUGUUCAGGAUGAUGGGGCUGCGGUUUUGGUCCUCCAAUUUCUUCUCUGCUAGGCAAAGCCUGGCUCUAUCGAUCCGGUUGUAAAACAAUCCACUCCUAUUAAUAGAUACGACAUUGCUCCUGUUAAGUUUUCAAGAAUAAUGUGCUUGUUUGUUAUGGAAUAUGAGUGUAUUUUCUUCAAGACGUAAUACAAAAAUACUUGUUUUUGCGAUGUAACAUGGAUGUACUUCAUAUUUGUGUGUGUGCAUACUUGAGGAUUUCGUGAAAGGAAUAUUAUAC
rnacentral:lncRNA from 1 species